rnacentral:lncRNA from 1 species
UUGCAUUCUGUUAAAUAUUUCUUAUUUCCUCAGAAUACACCACAAGGACCAUUUGACUGUCCCCUCUGGCUUCUGCAUCUUGCUUCCAGCAUGAACAGACAGCACAAGGCCCUGAGUUUGAUCCCCUCUGUAACAGCGAAACAACAAAACUGGAUGGGAGGAUAUACUUCAAAGCAUGGUAUACCAGUUCUGAAUUUUUCUGUGGGAACUAGCAUGAAGACUCAGUAAGCAGAGUUAAACCAGGCUUUCCUGGUUCAUUUAAGGUGAGAAGGGCACCAUUCUUUCAUGAACCAGGAGCCAGAAAUACAAGCUGUGGCAGGUGACCAGCCUCUGGAAUCUCCUUGUAUCCCUGGGAGCAAGUAUGAUCAUCUCAGGAGGGCAGUUUGUAUUUGCAGUUAUCAGUCUAAGUAAAACGGAAAACCAAAUGUGACUGCUUAACAUUUUUUUUUUUUUUUUGUACUGGGGAUUGAACAUGGGACUUUGUGCUUGCCAGGCAGGCGGAGGAAGCACUGAGCUAAAUCACUGGCCCAUUGACACUUUGACCUUACAAAACAUUUAAAAUUAUUUUGCUGUGAGUUCCACUUUUGCAUAUACCUUUUGAUUAAAUAUUUUAAAC